rnacentral:piRNA from 1 species
ACGGGGACAAAGCCUUUUGACCUCCAC